rnacentral:rRNA from 1 species
UGGGGAAUAUUGCACAAUGGGCGCAAGCCUGAUGCAGCCAUGCCGCGUGUAUGAAGAAGGCCUUCGGGUUGUAAAGUACUUUCAGCGGGGAGGAAGGGAGUAAAGUUAAUACCUUUGCUCAUUGACGUUACCCGCAGAAGAAGCACCGGCUAACUCCGUGCCAGCAGCCGCGGUAAUACGGAGGGUGCAAGCGUUAAUCGGAAUUACUGGGCGUAAAGCGCACGCAGGCGGUUUGUUAAGUCAGAUGUGAAAUCCCCGGGCUCAACCUGGGAACUGCAUCUGAUACUGGCAAGCUUGAGUCUCGUAGAGGGGGGUAGAAUUCCAGGUGUAGCGGUGAAAUGCGUAGAGAUCUGGAGGAAUACCGGUGGCGAAGGCGGCCCCCUGGACGAAGACUGACGCUCAGGUGCGAAAGCGUGGUGAGCAAACAGG